rnacentral:rRNA from 1 species
CCCGGGAGGACCACCUGUGGCGAAGGCGCCCGGCUGGAACGGGUCCGACGGUGAGGGACGAAGGCCAGGGGAGCGAACCGGAUUAGAUACCCGGGUAGUCCUGGCUGUAAACGAUGCGGGCUAGGUGUCACCAGAGCCACGAGCUCCGGUGGUGCCUGAGGGAAGCCGUUAAGCCCGCCGCCUGGGAAGUACGGCCGCAAGGCUGAAACUUAAAGGAAUUGGCGGGGGAGCACUACAACGGGUGGAGCCUGCGGUUCAAUUGGAUUCAACGCCGGGAAGCUUACCGGGGGAGACAGCUGGAUGAAGGUCGGGCUGAAGACCCUACCAGACUAGCUGAGAGGUGGUGCAUGGCCGCCGUCAGUUCGUACUGUGAAGCAUCCUGUUAAGUCAGGCAACGAGCGAGACCCGCGCCCUCAGUUGCCAGCGGAUCCCUUCGGGGAUGCCGGGCACACUGAGGGGACUGUCGGCGCUAAGCCGGAGGAAGGUGCGGGCAACGGCAGGUCCGUAUGCCCCGAAUCCCCCGGGCUACACGCGGGCUACAAUGGCCGGGACAAUGGGUACCGACCCCGAAAGGGGUAGGUAAUCCCCUAAACCCGGUCUAACCUGGGAUCGAGGGCUGCAACUCGCCCUCGUGAACCUGGAAUCCGUAGUAAUNNNCGCCUCAAAAUGGCGCGGUGAAUAC